AUUGAACGCUGGCGGCAUGCCUUACACAUGCAAGUCGAACGGCAGCACGGGUGCUUGCACCUGGUGGCGAGUGGCGAACGGGUGAGUAAUACAUCGGAACAUGUCCUGUAGUGGGGGAUAGCCCGGCGAAAGCCGGAUUAAUACCGCAUACGAUCUACGGAUGAAAGCGGGGGACCUUCGGGCCUCGCGCUAUAGGGUUGGCCGAUGGCUGAUUAGCUAGUUGGUGGGGUAAAGGCCUACCAAGGCGACGAUCAGUAGAUGGUCUGAGAGGACGACCAGCCACACUGGGACUGAGACACGGCCCAGACUCCUACGGGAGGCAGCAGUGGGGAAUUUUGGACAAUGGGCGAAAGCCUGAUCCAGCAAUGCCGCGUGUGUGAAGAAGGCCUUCGGGUUGUAAAGCACUUUUGUCCGGAAAGAAAUCCUUGGCUCCAAUACAGUCGGGGGAUGACGGUACCGGAAGAAUAAGCACCGGCUAACUACGUG
rnacentral:rRNA from 1 species